AAAGGCAAAGAGGGUAGAUCAAUAGUAAAAGAAGAUUCACAAUCAAGGGUAAGACCAUGGACAUUAAAAUCAAGAGCAUUUUCGUUAAAUAGGGGAGAGGGGGCACAAUCAAGCAUAUAAGAUUCGUUAUUAAGGGAAUGAACUACAUCACAAGAAGACAUGGCAAAUAAUGAAGAAAAUUUAAACACACCACACUACUUCAAAUCCCUUAUUUUUUUUGACACUAUUAGAUCGACACAGUGUAGUAGGCGUCAAUAUAAAAAUUUAGAUUCCGUAGAUUAUAGGCAGUCGAAGUAAAGUCUCGGGGCGUUUAGAAAUUCAUGUGAUCCACAUAUGACUUCAAUUAAUAAAAGAUAUGCGGCAAAACUUACUUACUGUACACCACUCCCUCAGCGCAAAUAUUCCUCCAUAAACCUAAACCUAAACCUAAUUACAGAGCACUCGUCAUUUUCGCUAGAAUUUCUUCAAUUUGCUAAAUUUGCCUCCCAAAACCUGAUAAAAAUUCAGCAAAGUGGGCUAUAGUUGUGAUCAAUUACAAAUUGGGGGAAAUUUUUUUGAUGAUUUUUCCAGUUACCUAUCUCAAUUCUUUCGAAAAUCUAAACAAUAAAAGGUAUAUUCUUCUCUUUUAAGUUUUAAUACUUGCAAGUUGCAAUUACCCAAUUUUACUUGUUUCAAAACCCUAGGUUAUAGAUCUUGUUGAAUUUCUAUUCUUAAAUUAAAUCUCGUAGUUUCUAGAUAACUUUUUUUAUACAUUAGUAGAUUGCAAAUUUCAUUUGUUUAGCUCUAUUUCAUUACGGUUUGAAAAAAAUUGACAUUGAAAUUUUUCGCUUAUUAGAGUUUUAAAAAAACAUUACUUUUAGAUGUCGAUAAAUAAGGUCUCACAUAAAACAGCUAAUUUAUUUAUAUAUAACCAGAAUUUGACAUGAAUAUUAUCCAUUUAUUAAGCUACGCUCUAAAGUAUUUUCUACUGAUUACUGGUGAAUUUUUGUAGCAUUAGUGACAUAGAGGCGGAUAUGACUAACCUUCAUAGCCUGGGUUCUAUUCAUUCAUGAUGGUUGUACUUUGUGUUUUUAAUCAAUUUAUUGUCAAUUGUCAUUUCUCACUGUUUUGUAAUUGGUGUUACUCAUCUUAAUUUUGUUUUUCUGUAAGCUCUAGCAUUUUAUUAUUGUUAAUUAUUUUAGAAAAAAUUUACUGAUCUUUUUGUUGAAAGAGCCAAUGCCUAUUAAAUCAAGUACAAAUUAGCUUAAGCUCUUGAUAACUUUUUAUGCUUCAUAGCUGAGAAAAAAAGCUUUCUCUAAUUCAUUGGGUUUAAUGUUAAUUUUAUCCUAUUCUUAUCACUCCAUCAGUUAUAGCUUUGUACGUAGUUAGUUCCAUGUUUUAAUAUUAAUAUAAAUAUGAGAGAAAAUGUUCGUUUGAUUGUUGAGUUAUACUCUGAAGUUACAAUGAGCUAGCUUAAAUUGAACUUUGUAACACACCAUUAUAAUUUGUACUCUUCAACUGAUUUUGGAGACUGUUUUGCUAGAGGUAUAUGUUGAAAAAAUUUUGUGUGGGCCUAACCUUUGAGUGUCUGUGUAUAUUUAAUAUAAAGAAUGUCAGUCUAUGUUGUCACUAUUAAAGUUCUGUUUUAUAAUAGAAUGGAUAAUUUAGAAGGAUGUCUAUCUCGGCACAUUUGUCAAUUAGGUAAUUUUAAUUAAUAUUUUGUGUGAAAAGUUUGGUCUUUGAUAUUAAAAGCUGGUUUCAGUAUACUUUUUUUUUUUUUUUUUUUUUUUUUUUUUUUUUUGUUGUCAGGCCUAUUCUCUGCUAAUUCUCUCUUGGGUAAUUGAUGAGUCAUAUUUAUAUAGAGUUUAUAGGCACGUUUAUGCUAGUUUUAUUGUUGCUUUUUGAGUCUUCUGUCGCUUUUUAGGUUGAAAUUGCAUAAGUUGUCCAUUUUGUAUUCUAUUACGCUUCGUUUGUGUUUUCUUAAUGUUUCAGGUAGUUUCUAUAGCUAUUUGAACGCUUUCGGAGUGGUUUUGGAAGAAUCGGACAAUGAAAGGAUGAAAAGUCGAUGAAUUGAGUUUAUUAAUCGAAGAUCUCAUGUUCGUGGAUGUCGACUAUGAGGAUUUUAUGCAUGAGAAAUGAAAAUAGCAUCCACAAUGAUCGUUAUGCACUUUUCGGAAUUGAAUUUGAGUUAGAAACGAAAUUAAACGAUGUUUUACAAAGUGGUAAAACUAACUCUUAUCCACUCUUUUGAUCAUUACUUGAGUUCUACAGAUCGGAUUGAAGUGAUUCAAAUUGCGUUGGAAACUAGAGUUGAAGAGCUUUCCAUUGAUAGGUCACACGCCCCUAUAAGGUACCUAGAACGUGAGAUACGGCCCUUUGAAGUCAAGCUUGCGAAGCUGCCAACCCAUCGCCCAGUCAUCGGGCGAUGGACGUGAUGUACGCUCGAGCGUGGGCUGCUGGUUGGGGCGAUGGUUUUCCAUCGCCCGAUGGUCGAGCGUCUUUCCGACCAUCGGCCACCCAUUGCCUGAUGGGUGGGGUGUGCGCGCAAGCCACAAGAAAUCCUACAUCGAUUAUAACUCUUUCAAUCGACCAAUCAUAUCACGACUAUUGUAAUUGCUAUUUUUCUGAUUUUAUUUUAUUUAUUUAUCUUUAGAUUAGUUUUAGGAUAAUAUAAAUACUCCAAGGGAUUUUAUUUUUCCCUUAUGCUUAUAUAUCUUUUAUUAUUUUUACGUUCUUUUGAGUUUUCUCUUGGACCCUAGUUUCUCAUGGCAUCUCCAUGGAUUCUUCCAUGGAUGAUUCUUGGGUUUACUAUUUUAAUUCAUUGAGGUAUUUUAUUUCUA